GGGAUUUGCUAUAGUACUAAAAUUGCUCAAAAAAAAGUCUCAUCCAUUUGCAUGUUAUAAAAGGGAAAAAAACGAAAAAAAAAGGGAUCAUAACCUUGGGGCAGAGCACUUGCCAAUUAUGUUGUUUCAGGUAACGCAUGCAUUCUCAAGCACAAGAAGAAAAGGUAUCCAGCCAUAUUCAGCGGGGGAAAUAUGCAAGAAUGUAAUUCAGUCCUAGAAACACAUCUUAAAAUACUACUAAAUAGUAUCACAAACAAGCAUGGAAUAGAAAAACUUAC
rnacentral:misc_RNA from 1 species